rnacentral:misc_RNA from 1 species
UUUCCGUAGGUGAACCUGCGGAAGGAUCAUUAUCGAAGUGUGAUUGUCCAUUUUGGGCAUCAUCCAAAUAUCCCUCACCCAAGUGAAUUGUAACCUUUUUUUUAAACGCGCACAUUUUAUCAUUAUAUUUUUUUUAAAUCGAAAAAGUUGAAAACAACUUUCAGCAACGGAUCUCUUGGCUCUC